UACGUAGGAGGCGAGCGUUGUCCGGAAUUAUUGGGCGUAAAGAGCUCGUAGGCGGCUUAGAAAGUCAGGUGUGAAAACUCUGGGCUUAACCCAGAGACGCCACUUGAUACUUCUAUGGCUUGAGUUCGGUAGGGGACCAUGGAAUUCCUGGUGUAGCGGUGAAAUGCGCAGAUAUCAGGAGGAACACCGAUGGCGAAGGCAGUGGUCUGGGCCGAUACUGACGCUGAGGAGCGAAAGCGUGGGGAGCGAACAGG
rnacentral:rRNA from 1 species